rnacentral:rRNA from 1 species
GAUGAACGCUGGCGGCGUGCCUAAUACAUGCAAGUCGAGCGAACGGACGAGAAGCUUGCUUCUCUGAUGCUAGCGGCGGACGGGUGAGUAACACGUGUAUAACCUACCUAUCAGACUGGGAUAACUUCGGGAAACCGGCGCUAAUACCGGAUGAUCUUUUGAACCGCAUGGUUCAAAAGUGAAAGACGGUCUUUCUGUAACUUAUAGAUGGAUCUGCGCUUCAUUAUGUAGUUGGUAAGGUAAAGGGUUACCAAGGGAAGUAGGCAUAGCCGACCGGAGAGGGGGAUCGGCCGCCCUGGAGCGUGGCCGCGGUCCAGAGUCCUACGGGAGGCAGCAGUAGGGAAUCUGCCGCAACGGGCGAAAGCCUGACGGAGCAACGCCGCGUGAGUGAUGAAGGUCUUCGGAUCGUAAAACUCUGUUAUGAGGGAAAAACAUAUGUGUAAGUAACUGUGCACAUCUUGACGGUACCUAAUCAGAAAGCAACGGCUAACUACGUG